GGGGCAGCCCAGCAGACUCAGCCAUUAGCAGGUAAGAAGCCUGGAUCCUUGCCUUGAGAGCCACAGUGAAUUCUGACAAGAGCCUGGCAUAAUUUGCUUCAAUGCUUUUCAACAUCUCAAUUUAAGUAUGGUUUAAGAUGCAUCUUCAGAGGGCUGGAGAGAUGGCUCAGCAGUUAAGAGUACUGACUGCUCUUCCCAGAGGUCCUGAGUUCAAUUCCUGGCAACCACAUGAUAUAUCUUUGGAGACAUAAUUGCAUUUAAGUAAAGUUCUGCUCAGCAUACUUUGAACAUAGGAUGCUAAUUAUUCAUACUUCAUGAUUGAGGAGUUGGAGUUGGAGACUCACCUGCAGUAUUUGGAAUACCAGUGGAGAUCCAUAUCAACAUGGAAUUUAUACAGCAGCUGGUGCCAGUCACAGCUAAUGAUGAAACUUCAGUUUAAUAAAAAGACCCCCAACUGAGUACAACCAUCUUGAAGAAAGUAUACUUAUCAAACAUCUUUCAAUCAGCUCAAGAGAGACACCUUAAUUGGGAAGAGGAAGAACUGCACAGCAGUUGUCACCAUGCCAAUCUCAGAUCAAUAGCAUUGCCACUGCUCCUCGGUACAUAUAGCCUUGCCUUAUGUCCCUAACUGCGUCUGCAUCCUCCCCCUACUGGGAUGAGAUCUUUGUUUCAGUUGCUAGUGUGUGAUGAUGCCCACUUCUGAUUCACCCAUUUCAUUAUAAAUACCCCCGAGCAAAAUUUAAAUGUGUAAUUAUAAAUCUCAUUAUUUUUCCUUUUAGUUAAAACUUCAACU